GCUCGCGUGGCAUAGUGGGUAGAGUGUCAGGCUAGGUCGGACUUGGAAGACUAGGGUUCAAAUCCCCACUCGGGCA